UACAGAGGGUGCAAACGUUGCUCGGAAUCAUUGGGCGUAAAGGGUGCGUAGGUGGCGUGGUAAGUCGGGUGUGAAAUUUCGGAGCUUAACUCCGAAACUGCAUUCGAUACUGCCGUGCUUGAGGACUGGAGAGGAGACUGGAAUUUACGGUGUAGCAGUGAAAUGCGUAGAGAUCGUAAGGAAGACCAGUGGCGAAGGCGGGUCUCUGGACAGUUCCUGACACUGAGGCACGAAGGCCAGGGGAGCAAACGGG
rnacentral:rRNA from 1 species